rnacentral:rRNA from 1 species
AACCAAUAUUUUUGGUGACUCAUAAUAACUUUACGGAUCACAUUAUGUGACAUAUCAUUCAAGUUUCUGACCUAUCAGCUUUAGACGGUAGGGUAUUGGCCUACCGUGGCUAUGACGGGUAACGGGGAAUUAGGGUUCGAUUCCGGAGAGGGAGCCUGAGAAACGGCUACCACAUCUAAGGAAGGCAGCAGGCGCGCAAAUUACCCAAUCCUAAUACAGGGAGGUAGUGACAAGAAAUAACAAUACAGAACCUUACGGUUUUGUAAUUGGAAUGAGUUAAGUAUAAACCCCUUAACAAGUAUCAAUUGGAGGGCAAGUCUGGUGCCAGCAGCCGCGGUAAUUCCAGCUCCAAUAGCGUAUAUUAAAGUUGUUGCAGUUAAAAAGCUCGUAGUUAAUCUUCUGUUAAUUUUUAUAUAUAAUAUUUCGAUAUUUAUAUAAUAUUAACAUAAUUCAUAUUACUUUUUAGUAUAUGAAACUUUACUUUGAGAAAAUUAGAGUGCUUAAAGCAGGCUAUUGCCUUGAAUACUCCAGCAUGGAAUAAUAUUAAGGAUUUUUAUUCUUCUUAUUGGUUCUAGAAUAAAAAUGAUGAUUAAUAGGAACAGUUGGGGGCAUUUGUAUUUAACAGUCAGAGGUGAAAUUCUUAGAUUUGUUAAAGACAAACUACUGCGAAAGCAUUUGCCAAGGAUGUUUUCAUUAAUCAAGAACGAAAGUUAGGGGAUCGAAGACGAUCAGAUACCGUCGUAGUCUUAACCAUAAACUAUGCCAACUAGAGAUUGGAGGUUGUUCCU